GCUACGGUUACUGCGGUUACAACUACUGCGAUUUAAUAAAUUGCUGUCAACCUAAGGCACGUAUUUAGAGAUAUUUAGAUCCGCCCUUAGUUCCCUGACCACAGACGAAACUCUCUGCAUAUUACCAGUGGGAGGACAUGAACAUCACAACUUUUCAGUUAAGUGUCACGUCAUGCUUAUACUCAACCAACCUCAUAGCUCUCUCUCUCUCUCUCUCUCUCUCUCUCUCUCUCUCUCUCUCCUCUUUCUUCUUUCUGUCACUCUUCUCUCAUUCUCUCUACACUAUUAUAUUAUAUGAUCUAAUUCAGUCAGUUUUCUAUAAAGACGACCUUUAAGCGAAGGGUAGAACCAAAAAUAGACUGUGUGUCGCCUGUACAUUUAUAUCUAACUGUAGCCAUUGUAGCUAACACUAUGACAUAGCUUGACGUGAAUUUGAAUUGAUGCGAUUCGUUGAUAUUAUUAAACCAGAAAGAACUGCACUACGAAAGUCUGCCUUCUUUACAAAACCACCUUAUUCUAACUCGUUCUACUUCUCUCACUUUAUCUCUCUCCUUAUCUAUCUAUCUAUCUAUCUAUCUAUCGAUAUAUAUAUAUAUAUAUAUAUAUAUAUAUAUAUAUAUAUAUAUAUAUAUAUAUAUAUAUAUAUAUAUAUAUAACUAUUUAUCUAUCUUUGUAUCAUGCAAUAGUCUUUGUAACUUACACACAUAUACAUUCACGCGUAUAAACACACCAAAGCAAUAUUCGCACAUAAAAAUCAUCUUUUGAAAAGUUUCUAUUGUCAAAUAAAAAAAAGAACACCAGUUGCAGACCAAAUAAACUUAGAAACAAACACGCUCACGUGCGCAAAGAUUCUCGUUUAGCUUAAUGUCACCCGCAUGAACACACACACACACACACUUACAUGUUUAACAAGUACAAUCAAACCAUGGUUUGUGUGUAUGUGUGUGUGUGUGUGUGCAGGUAUGCAUAAAGGUUUAUAGCACAACAUACUUUCACACCUGAUACUAUUGUCUGUGUGGAUUAGAAGCCCGCUUCCCAAUCAUGCGGGCUUGGGUUCAAUCCUACUGUACAGCAACUUCAAUAGGUGUCUUCUAAUAUAGCCCCGACCAAAGCCUUGUGAGAGGACUUGGUAGACGGAAACUGGAAGAAGCCCAUCGUAUAUAUAUAUAUAUAUGUGUGUGUGUGUGUGUGUGUGUGUGUGUGUGUGUGUAUGUAUGUAUGUAUAUAUAUAUAUAUAUAUAUAUAUACACACACGCACACGCAUUUAUGUAUAUGUUUUGCAAGAUUCCUCCAAAAUAUAACAGUGUGUGUGUGUGUGUUCGUUCCCAAGCAUCACUUGACAACUGUUGGUUUGUUUACGUCCCCGUAACUUAGCGGUUCGGUAAAAAGAUAUUGGUAGAACAAGUACCAGACUUUAAAAUAAGUACUGUAGUUAAUUUGUUCACCUAAGCCUUUCAAUGUGGUGCCCCAGCAUGGCCGAAGUCCAAUGAAUGAAACAGUUAAAAAAGAUAUCUACAUUCGCCUUGAAACACGUGUGUGUACGCUCGCCCUACAGAACACAUAACAAAUGAGUUACCGCCUUUUAUUGCUCAGAAACUGCGUCCGUGUGAGAGAAAAUAGAAAACAAUAGCUAAAAGGUACGUAUGAAAAGAAUUCUGUCACAGUGUGUUACAACUAAUGUCAUUCUACCAAGAUGAAGACGAGGCUUCUCUGUGGUGGCCACGCGCCUUCAAAUAGUAUCUUGGGCGUUGGUUGUGUGGUUUGGAAGCUUGCUUCCCACCCAUGUGGUCUUGGGUUCAGGCCCACUGCGCGACACCGUGGGCAAGUGUCUUCUACUAUAAACCGGGCCGACAUUAUGAGUGGAUUUGGUAGAUGGAAACUGAAAGAAGCCUGCAGUGUGCGUAUGUAUGCCAGUGUGUGUGUAUGCGUGUAUGUGUGUACCGUAAAUCCUUGAGUAUAGUCCUCCCUGGAGUAUAAUACGCAGGGUAAUUUUAGGGGGCUGUACUUCUGAAAAACCUAAACCUUGUGUAUAAUACGCACCCCUUCUCUAACUUGAGUCAAGGAGGUCUAUAUAACGUCCUUGUUUUUAAAAAAUGUAUACGGUAACGUCUUUAUUGUUAUUGUAUAUAUAACAUAAUGCAAACCUGUAGCUUUUUUGUGCAUUUUGUUUGCAGAAAAUAAAGAAAUAACAGUAUUAACAGUAAUAACGUUUAAUAAAUGUUGCUUACUGCAAGUUAUGGAUGAUUCUUUUAUGACUUCAUUGCUUUCAGGCUUAGCUUAAGGUAUUUUCGCGCCUGACAUUACAAAAUGCGUUUGAAUAAACAUUGCCGGACAGCAAAUAGAGGCUCGGACAUUGCUUAGAAAAUAAUUUUCAUUUUUAACCUCGUAUAUAGUACGCACUAGGGAUGUUGACCUUUAAAUUUUGCGGGGGGAAAUGCGGAUUAUACUCGAGGAUUUACGGUAUGUGUGUGUGCCACCCACCAUCGCUUGUCAACUAGUGUUGGUUUGUUGACAUCCCUGUAAGUUAGCGGUUCGGCAAAAGAAACAGUGUAAAUACCAGGCUUUAAAAUAAGCGAGCUCCAGCAUGGCCGCAGUCCAAAGACUGAAACAUGUAAAUGAGAUAAAAGGAACACGGUAAAGGAAAGAGAUCAAUAACUCAACAACUAAUAUUGAUUUCAGAUUUUGGUACAAAGCCAGCAAUUUCGCGUGAAGGAGUUAAUCGAUUACACUGACCACUGGCCACUCACAGACACACCCCAGUCUCUGAUUCACACGUGUUGAGUCUCCCCCACUCUAUUUUUUCUACCGCUACUAUAAUAGCCUCUGUUCCUCAGAGGUGGCUCUACUUCUGACACCUUCACUCGAGCAUUCCCAACUUCCCCUCAAGCAUUCCCAACUUAGCCUCAAGUAUUCCCAGCCAAUCCGUCACUCUUCUUCUACUCAUAUCUUGAGUUCAAUCCCCGAGGCACCAUACAAAUCACUGAGUGCAAUCCUUCCUCCUCAGAACAACUCCCACCGGAAUUCCAUCCCAGUUUCAGUGUUGACUAGCAAAAGCUCAAGUGGAACCCUGAAGGUAUCGACCCCUCUAGGAGUGCCUUCUUCUAUCAAGUAAAAAAAUGUACACCUCUUCAAUCUUCACAGACCUAACUCCAUCCAUCAUCAUGUGACGCACAUAUGACCAAUUAGGUUGAAGCAUCACCCCUGGCAACACUCGCAGCUGAUACAAAAACUCUUCAUCCUGCUUUUAUAUUGAAAAGAAUGAGUUAAAUUUGUUACUACACAGUAAGACAAUUCUCUUCAGUUGUUCAAAGCUUCCUUCACUUACGACAUUGCUCUCGACCAUCGGCGUAGGCAUGGCUAUGUGGUUAAGGAUUGCACAAAGUUCGCUUUGUAACCAUGUGGCUUCCGGUUCAGUCCCAUUGUGUGGCACCUUGGGCAAGUGUCUUCUACUCUAGCCCCGGGUCCCAGCCGAUCAAUGCUUUGUAAGUGAAUUUGGUAAACAGAAAUAGUACGGAUGACCGUCGUAUAUGUAUGCAUGUUUGUCCCCUCGCUACCACUAUACAACCGGUAUUGGUUUGUUUACGUCUCUAUAACUUAGCGGUUCAGCUAAAUAGAUAGAUAGAAUAUGUAUCAAACUUUAAAAGUAUAUGCACUGGGGUCAAUUUGUUCAAUAAAACAGUUCAAGGUGGUGCUCCAGCAUAGCCGCAGUCCAGUUUUACUGAAACAAGUAAAAGAUAAAAGAUAACCUGUGAAGCGAGAAUAUAUUUAAGCUCUUUUAACCGGCUAGAAAUAGCAGCCAAAUCUGCUUCAAGGCAUUCAAUAAUGAUCUUGAAAAAUAAGGGACGAGAAACAUUGGAUUAAGUAUUCUUGGCUUAUACAGCCCGAAAAACAAAGAAAUCGACAGGGUGGUUAUGGUUUGAACGCCGUUGAUCAAAAUUUGAUCGAUCAGGAUGACCUGCGACUUAAGAGAUAGGUGAUCAGUUGAGAGUUAAGUCCCUUUAUUGCUAGCACUUCACAGCGCUGCCGAUAGAACACAGAUAUUUUCAGCCAUUAAGUAAUUGAUUAAAAUGCCUACCAAUGACUUUCUAUAGCGAGUAUUUGUUAUUUUAACAGCAGUACUGAGAUCAUCUCGGGUAGCUAUACCGAUAGAGGAUGUAACCAGCAUGGGGUCACCAAAAUAGUUUGCUAAACUUGCUACAAAUAGCGGUAAAAUAUCUGGAAUAUCACACCACCCCGUCCUCAAAAAUCGAAAACGUUAAAUUAUAUAGUCCAAAAUAUCUUAAAAAGCUGGAAGGUCACGACUGGACUGCUUUAUAUCAUAAGUAUACUUGAAAGCGCAACAAUAACAACAACAAGAAAGGCUGAGCAAAUGAGAGCUGCUAUGGGAUUGCUUAACCUGCAAGAAAUAAUAACCAAUUCAAUCUCAAAAUACAUCAUGCCUCAUGAAAAUAAAAAAAAACUAAAUAAGAACCAAAGUUUAAGCAAAGCUGGAAUGUUUUUGAUCUUUGGUAUGCUCGAUCAGGGCUCACCUCACGUUAAACCAAAACAGGAAUCAGGAAGAGAAUAUUAUAGCUCUUCUGCUUCACUUCAAAUCUUAUAAUCCUCUAUCAACGAUUUUUUUUUUCUUUCACCAUGACGCUUUUAGACUUUCCUGUUGUUUAUUGACACGCACAUUUAUUAACAGAACAUAAACUGCUAAGGCGGUGAGCUGGCAGAGACGUUAGCACGCCGGGCGAAAUGCGUAGCCGUAUUUCGUCUGCCGUUACGUUCCGAGUUCAAAUUUAUCGCCGAGGUCGACUUUGCCUUUCAUCCUUUCGGGGUCGAUAAAUUGAGAACCAGUUAAGCACUGGGGUCGACGUAAUCGACUUAAUCCGUUUGUCUGUCCUUGCUUGUCCUCUUUGUGUUUAGUCCCUCUGUGGGCAGUAAAGAAAUAGGUAUUUCGUCUGCCGUUACGUUCUGAGUUCAAAUUCCACCGAGGUCGACUUUGCCUUUCAUCCUUUUGGGAUCGAUUAGAUAAGUACCAGUUACGCGGGGUCGAUAUAAUCGACUUAAUCCGUUUGUCUGUCCUUGUUUGCCCCCUGUGUGUGUAGCCCUUUGUGGGCAGUAAAGAAAUAAGAACAUUAACUGUAAACUAAUCGUUAUCUUUUCUUUUAUUCGUUUCAGUCAUGGACUGCGGCCAUUGCUAAGGUGCAGCUUGAGCGGUUUUAGUCGAAAAGAAUCGGCCCCUAUAGUUAUUUUUAUGAAUCUGAUACUUAUUCCAUCGAUCUCGUGUGCCGAACCGCUAGCUUACGGAAAUGAAAACAAACCAACACUGGUCGUCAAGUGGUGUGGGGGCAAACAAACAAACAAACACACACACACGACGGCCUUCCAGAUCAGAAGACACUUUUCUAAAUUGACGUGCAGUGGGACUGAAACCCGAGCCACAUGGCUGCAAAUCGAGUCUCCUACUUAGAAGGAAGGAGAAUGGUUGUAAUGACACAUCUAUGUUAUCUCAAGGGAGCCAGCACUACAAAGGAAAGAAGAACCUUACUACAUGUCAGGAGUUUACCAUUUAUUUUGUAUUCUGCAACCCUCACUACACGCAUACACACACAGACAUACUCAUAUGAAACGUUAAGAAACGGUGCGCGGUGCCAGGACUUUCGACCCGAGUCAAAUAUGAAAUACUAUUCCAAAACGUUGUUAGAGUAUCUGCAUUAUUUACAUUAUUUACAACUGAGGAUAUUUGUCCUCAUCUUGUUUGUUGUUAACACAACGUUUCGGCUGAUAUAUAUUCCAGCCUUCAUCAGGUGUCUUGGAGAAAUUUCGAACCUGGGUUCUCAUUCCUAAGGUAUUUUUCGAUGUUGUUGUUGUUGUUGUUGUUAGGUCACUGUUUGGAAUCGAACUUGGAAUCGGGGUUAGUAGUCCGCGCUCUUAAUCCAAAGAUUCCGAGUUCGAUUCCAGGCA
rnacentral:lncRNA from 1 species